GAUAAUGCCUGAGUUAAUUAUUCUUAGGUUAUUAAUCCUGUCACCUUAGGUCGAUCGGUACCUCAGACUAAUAAUCAAUUAUUAGUUUUAGUUCCUAAACUUGUCUAGGUCACACCCCACAAGGGUUACUCCUGGGCCAUUAGCUCAGGUGGUUAGAGCGCACCCCUGAUAAGGGUGAGGUCCCUGGUUCAAGUCCAGGAUGGCCCAUUCGGUGUUGGGGGUAUAGCUCAGUUGGUAGAGCGCCUGCUUUGCAAGCAGGAUGUCAGCGGUUCGAGUCCGCUUACCUCCACUGACCGCCCCUUUAGCCUUUUGCGGAGUAUCUCUUUGAGAUGUGAUUUAGAAAAUUACUGAAUUUGAACCUAGCUUCUUAUCUCUCUAGAUCUAUAUAGAUUUGUUUGACAGGACGCUGGGCUCACUGGAUUCUUUCAAGUUUCCAGUUUGUUCAGUAGAACCUUGACAACUGCAUAGGUGAGUCUGGAAAGAAAAUGCAUCUCAUGGAUUCAUAGCUCUUUUAAAUUAAAAGCUAUGUUUAAUUCUUGAAGAUAAGAAAAGACUCUAUAACGUUCUUUUGAUGAGUUUAUUCAUCAAGAGUUAGAUCA
rnacentral:tRNA from 1 species